ensembl:lncRNA
GUUAAGUCACAUUUAAAAUAAAAGGCAGACCUUUCCUGACCCCUUCCUCUUCUCUUUUUCUCUCUUCUCUUUUCUAUUUUCUCUCUCUCCCUCUCUUAAACCUCCCUUGUCUCUGCCACCCCAAUAAACCUCUUCGCUUGAGACCGUGUUGGCCUGGUGUGGUUCGUCUGGACACGAGCUGCGGUUUCCAUCCCAACACCUAGGACCACGUGGCUCAUCGUCCUCUCCUUCACUUACCAUCUUCUCUCUCCCAUCUCCUGACUCCUCCCACCCCCAUCCCCUCUCUAAAACUUUCAGCUCUGCCUUCCUUUUCCACUGCCCAAUCACAGGCUCUAGCUCUAUCAGACUAAUAAAGAGGUCACCUGACUGCACCUGAAUACCGGCACUCUUGAGGGAGCAGAACAUACAAACAGCAAUCCACAACAGGAAUUUCAGCUAAGGUCAUCCCUAUUGGGUCCUGGGAGCCUCCUACAUCCAUGCUCCUCUUGCCUUCCCAAGAAGUUCUGAGGACAUCAGGGUCAACCAGCCAACACCAGGGAAAACCAGAUGCCUGAAGGACAGAGCAAAAACAUAACCAACAAGAUCCAGGGCACCAUGGCACCACCAGAGCCCAGCUAUCCUGCUACAGAGCCCUGGAUAUCCAAAUGAAACUGAAGCACAAGAAGAUAAUCUUCAAUCCGGUCUUACAAAAUUGAAUAAAUCCAUUAAAGAAAUCAGGAAGACAUUUGAACAGAUAGAGGCAUUAAAAGAUUAAGCAAAUAAAUACAACCAAACAGGUGAAGGCUAUGAAAAAACAAUGUCUGAAUCCUAAAAGUGGAAACAGAAGCAGUAAAGAACAGAAACUGAGGCAAUCCUGGAGAUGGGAAACCUAGGAAAGAGGACAGGAAGUACAGACGUAAGAAUACCAGAGACUGAAUACGGAACCCUAGGGACAGAAGAGAUGAGAGAAGAAAUUGAUACAUCAGUCAAGCAAAAUGAAAAAUGUAAACAGUUUAUGACACAAAACGUGGGAAAUUUGGGACACUCUGAAAAGAUCAAACCUGAGAAUAAUAGGAAUCAAAGGAGAAGAUUCCCAGAUCAAGGGCCCAGAAAACAUUUCAACACAAUCAUAGAAGAAUGAGAUAGCUGUAAAUGGACAAGAGAGUAACAGAAUAUCAGUAAAGUUUU